AUGGCCGACGAGGAGGGUUGCAUGUACGCGGUGCAGCUGGCGUUGUCGUCGGUGCUGCCGAUGACGCUCAAAGCCGCCAUCGAGCUGGGCCUGCUGGAGACCCUGGUGGGUGCCGGCGAGGGGACGCUGAGUCCGGAGGAGGUGGCCGCAAAGCUGCCGGCCAAGGCCAACCCGGAGGCGGCGGCCAUGGUAGACCGCAUGCUGCGGGUGCUAGCCUCGCACGAGAUCGUGUCGUGCGUGGUAGAGGAGGGCAAGGACGGCAGCCUCUCCCGUCGCUAUGGCGCCGCGCCGGUGUGCAAGUGGCUCACCCCCAACGAGGAGGGCGUCUCCAUGGCCGCCUGGGCCAUCAUCGCCCAGGACAAGAUCUUCAUGGACACCUGGUGCUACUUGAAGGAUGCCGUCCUUGAGGGUGGCAGCCCGUUCAAGAAGGCGCUCGGGAUGUCAUGGUUCGACUACGCCGGCACCGACAUGCGCUUCAACCACCUCUACAACGAGGCCAUGAAGCACCACUCCGGCAUCAUCACCAAGAAGCUCCUCGAGCUGUACACGGGCUUUGAUGGGCUCGGCACCCUCAUGGACGUCGGCGGCGGCAUCGGCACCACCAUCCACGCCAUCACCUCCAAGUACCCGAGCAUCAAGGGGAUCAACUACGACCUCCCCCAUGUCAUCUCCGAGGCGCCGCCAUACCCUGGCGUGCAGGUGCAGCACGUGGGCGGCGACAUGUUCGAGCAGGUGCCCUCCGGCACCGAUGCCAUCCUCAUGAAGUGGAUCCUCAACUGCUUCAGCGACCAGCAGUGCGCGACGCUGCUCAAGAACUGCUAUGACGCGCUGCCGGCGCACGGCAAGGUGAUCAACAUCGAGUGCAUCAUGCCGGUGAACCCGGACCCGACGCCUAGCGCGCGUGGGCUGAUCCAGAUCGACAUGAGCCUGCUCGCCUACAGCAAUGGUGGCAAGGAGAGGUACCAGAGGGAGCUCGAGAAGCUCGCCAUGGGCGCCGGGUUUGCCAGCGUCAAAUCCACCUAUAUCUACGCCAACUUCUGGGCCCUAGAGUACACCAAGUAG
rnacentral:rRNA from 1 species